GACGUAGGGGACGAGCGUUGUCCGGAUUCAUUGGGCGUAAAGCGCGCGUAGGCGGUUACGCAAGUCGGUUGUGAAAAUCCGGGGCUCAACCCCGGACCUGCAUCCGAUACUGCGUGACUAGAGGUAGGUAGGGGAGAUCGGGAAUUCCUGGUGUAGCGGUGAAAUGCGCAGAUAUCAGGAGGAACACCGGUGGCGAAGGCGGAUCUCUGGGCCUUACCUGACGCUCAGGCGCGAAAGCUAGGGGAGCGAACAGG
rnacentral:rRNA from 1 species